AUUGAACGCUGGCGGCAGGCCUAACACAUGCAAGUCGAACGAGUGGCGGACGGGUGAGUAAUGUCUGGGAAACUGUCUGAUGGAGGGGGAUAACAACUGGAAACGGUAGCUAAUACCGCAUACCAUCAGAUGUGCCCAGAUGGGAUUAGCUAGUAGGUGGGGUAACGGCUCCCCGAGGCGACGAUCCCUAGCUGGGCUGAGAGGAUGACCAGCCACAAUGGAACUGAGACACGGUCCAGACUCCUACGGGAGGCAGCAGUGGGGAAUAUUGCACAAUGGGCGCAAGCCUGAUGCAGCCAUGCCGCGUGUAUGAAGAAGGCCUUCGGGUUGUAAAGUACUUUCAGCGGGGAGGCGUUACCCGCAGAAGAAGCACCGGCUAACUCCGUGCCAGCAGCCGCGGUAAUAC
rnacentral:rRNA from 1 species